UACCUCAACUCCGGCCUCACUUAGG
rnacentral:piRNA from 1 species